rnacentral:rRNA from 2 species
CGAACGGGUGAGUAAUGUAUCGGAACGUACCCAGUAGCGGGGGAUAACUACGCGAAAGCGUGGCUAAUACCGCAUACGCCCUAUGGGGGAAAGAGGGGGAUCGCAAGACCUCUCACUAUUGGAGCGGCCGAUAUCGGAUUAGCUAGUUGGUGGGGUAAAGGCCUACCAAGGCUGCGAUCCGUAGCUGGUUCGAGAGGACGACCAGCCACACUGGGACUGAGACACGGCCCAGACUCCUACGGGAGGCAGCAGUGGGGAAUUUUGGACAAUGGGGGCAACCCUGAUCCAGCCAUCCCGCGUGUGCGAUGAAGGCCUUCGGGUUGUAAAGCACUUUUGGCAGGGAAGAAAAGGCUCUGGUUAAUACCUGGGGCCGCUGACGGUACCUGCAGAAUAAGCACCGGCUAACUACGUGCCUGCAGCCGCGGUAAUACAUAGGGUGCAAGCGUUAAUCGGAAUUACUGGGCGUAAAGCGUGCGCAGGCGGUUCGGAAAGAAAGAUGUGAAAUCCCAGGGCUUAACCUUGGAACUGCAUUUUUAACUACCGGGCUAGAGUAUGUCAGAGGGGGGUAGAAUUCCACGUGUAGCAGUGAAAUGCGUAGAGAUGUGGAGGAAUACCGAUGGCGAAGGCAGCCCCCUGGGAUGAUACUGACGCUCAUGCACGAAAGCGUGGGGAGCAAACAGGAUUAGAUACCCUGGUAGUCCACGCCCUAAACGAUGUCAACUAGCUGUUGGGGGCUUCGGCCCUUAGUAGCGCAGCUAACGCGUGAAGUUGACCGCCUGGGGAGUACGGUCGCAAGAUUAAAACUCAAAGGAAUUGACGGGGACCCGCACAAGCGGUGGAUGAUGUGGAUUAAUUCGAUGCAACGCGAAAAACCUUACCUACCCUUGACAUGUCUGGAAGGCCGAAGAGAUCUGGCUGUGCUCGCAAGAGAACCGGAACACAGGUGCUGCAUGGCUGUCGUCAGCUCGUGUCGUGGGAUGUUGGGUUAAGUCCCGCAACGAGCGCAACCCUUGUCAUUAGUUGCUACGAAAGGGCACUCUAAUGAGACUGCCGGUGACAAACCGGAGGAAGGUGGGGAUGACGUCAAGUCCUCAUGGCCCUUAUGGGUAGGGCUUCACACGUCAUACAAUGGUCGGGACAGAGGGUCGCCAACCCGCGAGGGGGAGCCAAUCCCAGAAACCCGAUCGUAGUUCGGAUUGCAGGCUGCAACUCGCCUGCAUGAAGUCGGAAUCGCUAGUAAUCGCGGAUCAGCAUGUCGCGGUGAAUACGUUCCCGGGUCUUGUACACACCGCCCGUCACACCAUGGGAGUGGGUUUUACCAGAAGUAGUUAGCCUAACCGCAAGGGGGGCGAUUACCACGGUAGGAUUCAUGACUGGGGUGAAGUCGUAACAAGGUAACC